GACGAACGCUGGCGGCGUGCUUAACACAUGCAAGUCGAGCGGUAAGGCCCUUUCGGGGGCACACGAGCGGCGAACGGGUGAGUAACACGUGGGUGACCUGCCCUCAGCUCUGGGAUAAGCCCGGGAAACUGGGUCUAAUACUGGAUAUGACUCCAUGACGCAUGUUGUGGGGUGGAAAGCCUUGUGCGGCUGAGGAUGGGCCCGCGGCCUAUCAGCUUGUUGGGGGUGAUGGCCUACCAAGGCGACGACGGGUAGCCGGCCUGAGAGGGCGACCGGCCACACUGGGACUGAGACACGGCCCAGACUCCUACGGGAGGCAGCAGUGGGGAAUCUUGCGCAAUGGGCGAAAGCCUGACGCAGCGACGCCGCGUGAGGGAUGACGGCCUGGUGUAAC
rnacentral:rRNA from 1 species